rnacentral:rRNA from 1 species
CCUACGGGAGGCAGCAGUGGGGAAUCUUGCGCAAUGGGCGAAAGCCUGACGCAGCCAUGCCGCGUGAAUGAUGAAGGUCUUAGGAUUGUAAAAUUCUUUCACCGAGGACGAUAAUGACGGUACUCGGAGAAGAAGCCCCGGCUAACUUCGUGCCAGCAGCCGCGGUAAUACGAAGGGGGCUAGCGUUGCUCGGAAUUACUGGGCGUAAAGGGAGCGUAGGCGGAUAGUUUAGUCAGAGGUGAAAGCCCAGGGCUCAACCUUGGAAUUGCCUUUGAUACUGGCUAUCUUGAGUACGGAAGAGGUAUGUGGAACUCCGAGUGUAGAGGUGAAAUUCGUAGAUAUUCGGAAGAACACCAGUGGCGAAGGCGACAUACUGGUCCGUUACUGACGCUGAGGCUCGAAAGCGUGGGGAGCGAAACAGGAUUAGAUACCCUGGUAGUCCACGCUGUAAACGAUGAGUGCUAGUUGUCGGCAUGCAUGCAUGUCGGUGACGCAGCUAACGCAUUAAGCAUCCGCCUGGGGAGUACGGUCGCAAGAUUAAAACUUAAAUGAAUUGACGG